rnacentral:rRNA from 1 species
UGGGGAAUUUUGGACAAUGGGCGAAAGCCUGAUCCAGCAAUGCCGCGUGUGUGAAGAAGGCCUUCGGGUUGUAAAGCACUUUUGUCCGGAAAGAAAUCCUUGGCUCUAAUACAGUCGGGGGAUGACGGUACCGGAAGAAUAAGCACCGGCUAACUACGUGCCAGCAGCCGCGGUAAUACGUAGGGUGCAAGCGUUAAUCGGAAUUACUGGGCGUAAAGCGUGCGCAGGCGGUUUGCUAAGACCGAUGUGAAAUCCCCGGGCUCAACCUGGGAACUGCAUUGGUGACUGGCAGGCUAGAGUAUGGCAGAGGGGGGUAGAAUUCCACGUGUAGCAGUGAAAUGCGUAGAGAUGUGGAGGAAUACCGAUGGCGAAGGCAGCCCCCUGGGCCAAUACUGACGCUCAUGCACGAAAGCGUGGGGAGCAAACAGGAUUAGAUACCCUGGUAGUCCACGCCCUAAACGAUGUCAACUAGUUGUUGGGGAUUCAUUUCCUUAGUAACGUAGCUAACGCGUGAAGUUGACC